CGGGACGGGUGAGUAACACGUAGAGAACCUACCUUACACAGGGGGACAACGGCUGGAAACGGCUGCUAAUACCACAUAAGCACCCAGUUUCGCAUGAAACAGAGUGAAAAGAGUAAAUCGGUGUAAGAUGGCUCUGCGUCUGAUUAGCUAGUUGGUGGGGUAAAGGCUCACCAAGGCGACGAUCAGUAGCCGGCCUGAGAGGGCGACCGGCCACAUUGGGACUGAGACACGGCCCAGACUCCUACGGGAGGCAGCAG
rnacentral:rRNA from 1 species